AACGCCCGGCCCCAUUCCGAACCCGGAAGCUAAGCCCUCCAGCGCCAAUGGUACUGCACCCUAAUCAGUGUGGGAGAGUAGGACACCGCCGAAC
rnacentral:rRNA from 1 species